CAUGCAAGUAUCCGCGCCCCUGUGAAAACGCCCUUAAAUCCCCCGUAGGGAUAAGGAGCUGGUAUUAGGCACAUUUAUAUUGCCCAAAACACCUAGCUAUGCCACACCCACAAGGGAUCUCAGCAGUAAUUAACAUUGAACAUCAGCGACAGCUUGAUUCAGUUAAAGUAAAAAGAGCCGGCUAAUCUGGUGCCAGCCGCCGCGGUUACACCAUGUGGCUCAAAUUGACCCCUAUCGGCGUAAAGAGUGAUUUAAGAAUCUUAUUAUUGGCGUUAAAUUUUAACUAAGCUGUGACACGCUUGUUCUUUAGAAACCCCAAAACGAAAGUUACACCAACUAAACCAACUUGA
rnacentral:rRNA from 1 species